rnacentral:rRNA from 1 species
GAGUUUGAUCAUGGCUCAGGAUGAACGCUAGCGGCAGGCUUAACACAUGCAAGUCGAGGGGUAACGGGGAAGCUUGCUUCCGCCGACGACCGGCGCACGGGUGCGUAACGCGUAUACAAUCUACCUUAUACUGGGGUAUAGCCUUUAGAAAUGAAGAUUAACCCCCCAUAGUCUCUUAGAGUGGCAUCACUUCUAGAGUAAAGGUUACGGUAUAAGAUGAGUAUGCGUUCUAUUAGUUUGUUGGUGUGGUAACGGCACACCAAGACUACGAUAGAUAGGGGCCCUGAGAGGGGGAUCCCCCACACUGGUACUGAGACACGGACCAGACUCCUACGGGAGGCAGCAGUGAGGAAUAUUGGACAAUGGAGGCAACUCUGAUCCAGCCAUGCCGCGUGCAGGAAGACUGCCCUAUGGGUUGUAAACUGCUUUUAUACAGGAAGAAACACCUCUACGUGUAGAGGCUUGACGGUACUGUAAGAAUAAGGAUCGGCUAACUCCGUGCCAGCAGCCGCGGUAAUACGGAGGAUCCAAGCGUUAUCCGGAAUCAUUGGGUUUAAAGGGUCCGUAGGUGGAUAAUUAAGUCAGAGGUGAAAUCUUGCAGCUCAACUGUAAAAUUGCCUUUGAAACUGGUUAUCUUGAGUUAUUAUGAAGUAGUUAGAAUAUGUAGUGUAGCGGUGAAAUGCAUAGAUAUUACAUAGAAUACCAAUUGCGAAGGCAGAUUACUAAUAAUCAACUGACACUGAUGGACGAAAGCGUGGGUAGCGAACAGGAUUAGAUACCCUGGUAGUCCACGCCGUAAACGAUGGUUACUAGCUGUUUGGACUUCGGUCUGAGUGGCUAAGCGAAAGUGAUAAGUAACCCACCUGGGGAGUACGUUCGCAAGAAUGAAACUCAAAGGAAUUGACGGGGGCCCGCACAAGCGGUGGAGCAUGUGGUUUAAUUCGAUGAUACGCGAGGAACCUUACCAGGGCUUAAAUGUAAGUUGCAUUAGUUAGAGAUAGCUAUUUCUUCGGACCACUUACAAGGUGCUGCAUGGUUGUCGUCAGCUCGUGCCGUGAGGUGUCAGGUUAAGUCCUAUAACGAGCGCAACCCCUGUUGUUAGUUGCCAGCGAGUCAUGUCGGGAACUCUAGCAAGACUGCCAGUGCAAACUGUGAGGAAGGUGGGGAUGACGUCAAAUCAUCACGGCCCUUACGUCCUGGGCUACACACGUGCUACAAUGGUAGGUACAGAGAGCAGCCACUGCGCGAGCAGGAGCGAAUCUAUAAAACCUAUCACAGUUCGGAUCGGAGUCUGCAACUCGACUCCGUGAAGCUGGAAUCGCUAGUAAUCGGAUAUCAGCCAUGAUCCGGUGAAUACGUUCCCGGGCCUUGUACACACCGCCCGUCAAGCCAUGGAAGUUGGAAGUGCCUGAAGUCCGUCACCGUAAGGAGCGGCCUAUGGUAAAGUCGAUAACUAGGGCUAAGUCGUAACAAGGUAACC